rnacentral:rRNA from 1 species
AAAUUCCGCCCAGGGUUAGCCGGUACCUAAGUCGAGGCCGAAGGGUGUAGACGAUGGAUAGCAGGUCAACAUUCCUGCGCCACUAACGAGGACUGAUGGAGAGACGGCGUCUGUAGGGUGAGCGGUACGAUUAGAAAUGUCCGUAGACCACUUGAAAGUGGGGAAUAGGUAAAUCCGUCCCCAUAAGCCAACGGGUGGGCUCGACCGCAUAUACGUUCGGGAAGUCAUCUGAAGGACGUCCAAGAAAAUCUUCUCAGGGUUGAAUCGUUAGUGACCGUACUAAAACUGACACAGGUAGGUGAGACGAGAAGUCUAAGGCGCUCGGGAGAACACUGGUUAAGGAACUCUGCAAUAUGACCCUGUAACUUCGGGAUAAAGGGUGCCCUCUGGGGUUAACGCUCUGGGGGGUCACAGUAAAUCGGGAGCAGCGACUGUUUAUCAAAAACACAGGACUCUGCGAACACGCAAGUGGAUGUAUAGAGUCUGACGCCUGCCCGGUGUUGGUAGGUUAAGGAAGAGGGUUAGCCGUAGGGCGAAGCUCGCAACCGAAGCCCCAAUAAACGGCGGCCGUAACUAUGACGGUCCUAAGGUAGCGAAGUUCCUUGUCGGGUAAGUUCCGACCUGCAUGAAUGGCGUAACGACUGCUCUACUGUCUCAACCAGUGACCCGGUGAAAUUGUAGCCGUGGUGAAGAUGCCACGUUCCCGCAGUGUGACGGAAAGACCCCGUGAACCUUUACUGCAGGCAGAUAUUGGUCUCGGGCAUUCUCUGUGUAGGAUAGGUGGGAGGCUUUGAAGUUUCGGCGCCAGCCGAGAUGGAGCCAACGUUGAAAUACCACCCUGAGGUUGUCUUAGUUCUAACUCCGAUUCCCGUUAAUCCGGGCGGAGGACAGUGUCUGUUGGGCAGUUUGACUGGGGCGGUCUCCUCCGAAAUAAUAACGGAGGAGUUCAAAGGUACCCUCAGCCUGGUUGGCAAUCAGGCUUCGAGCGCAAAGGUAGAAGGGUGCUUAACUGCGAGGCUUAUCAGCCGAGCAGAGACGAAAGUCGGACUUAGUGAUCCGGUGAUUCCGUAUGGAAGGGUCAUCGCUCAUCAGAUAAAAGGUACUCUGGGGAUAACAGGCUUAUCGCUCCCGAGCGUCCAUAGCGGCGGAGCGGUUUGGCACCUCGAUGUCGGCUCAUCACAUCCUGGGGGUGGAGAAGCUCCCAAGGGUUUGGCUGUUCGCCAAUGAAAGUGGUACGUGAGCUGGGUUCAGACCGUCGUGAGACAGGUCGGUCCCUAUCUGCUGUGGGCGCACGAAACUUGCGGAGGUUCUUCUUUAGUACGAGAGGAUUUUGAAGGACGUUCCUCUGGUGUACCAGUUGUCGCGCUAGCGGCACGGCUGGAUAGCUAUGAACGGAAAGGAUAAACGCUGAAAGCAUAUAAGCGUGAAGCCCGCUCCAAGAUCAGGUCUCGUUGGGCUUUAUGCCCGAAAGUCCCCUGGUAGACCACCAGGUUGAUAGGCCGGAUGUGUACGUGCAGUAAUGCAUUUAGCUAACCGGUACUAACGGACGAACGCUUGGCCAU